GUCGCACCUACCGAUUGAAUGGUCCGGUGAAAUCUUCGGACUCUGUGUUUAUUGAUUAGUUUCAAUUUACUACUGGAGAAAGUUGAGUAAACCUUACCAUUUAGAGGAAGGUGAAGUCGCAACAAGGUUUCCGUAGGUGAACCUGCAGAAGGAUCA
rnacentral:rRNA from 1 species